rnacentral:pre_miRNA from 1 species
CGACCGCCUCGGGCCCGCUAUGUCGGACAACACCGACCCCCAGCCCGCCAACAAGGAGAUGGCGUUGGCGGGCUGGGGUCGGUGUUGUCUGACAUGGAGGGUCCCAGGCAGUCG